rnacentral:rRNA from 1 species
GACUAACGCUGGCGGCGCGCUUAACACAUGCAAGUCGAGCGAGAACCUGGGCUUCGGCCCUGGGGACAGCGGCGAACGGGUGAGUAUCACGUGGGUAAGCUGCCCUCGGCAUCGGGAUAGCCCGGGGAAACCCGGAUUAAGACCGAAUAGCCUCCGGAGCCUUCGGGCGCCGGAGAAAAGGUAGCUUCGGCCUCUGGCCGAGGCUGAGCCCGCGGCGGAUUAGCUUGUUGGCGGGGUAACGGCCCACCAAGGCGACGAUCCGUAGCCGGUCUGAGAGGACGAUCAGCCACACUGGGACUGAGACACGGCCCAGACUCCUACGGGAGGCAGCAGUGGGGAAUCUUGCGCUAAUGCGGGAAACCGUGACGCAGCGACGCCGCGUGGGGGAAGAAGGCCUUCGGGUUGUAAACCUCUUUCAGGAGGGACGAAGCUACUCGGGUUAAUAGCCCAGAGGGUGACGGUACCUCCAGAAGAAGCCCCGGCUAACUACGUGCCAGCAGCCGCGGUAA